UGUGCGGGGUUGAUUUCUUUCUGGCUUCGGCGUCAGAUACUGGAGAGAGAGAGAGAGGGGAGAGAUAGCGUCGGCGUCUUCUCCCUUUCUUCCGGGCUUUCUGCCCGCUGAGAACGUGCGCGCAGAAAGGAUGAAGUUCGAGCCGUGGAGUACUUCGAGCCGUGCGCCCCUUCCCCCGUCCUCCUCCACCUUGCCUGGGCUCCGCCUCCUCCGCCCGCAUCCUCCUCUCUCUCUCUUCUGCGCCAACGGCCUCCUCCCUCGUUGCUGGACCCGCCCUGCUUCGCCUCCGCCAGCCUCUUCCUCCUUGCCGUCAACGGCAGCGGUGUGAACGGGAGCAGCGGCCGCGACUAGAUGCGAUGAGUUGACCGGGCUGGUUCCACGCUGAGGAACGGACCCCCUCGACACCAUCCUCUGCGGCGCUACUCUGCUGCAUGCGUUCGUCACAGUUAAGUUCUGGUUCCUUACCUGCUCCCCCUCCUCUUGAGCAUUAUGUUCCUCACAGUAUUUAGCCUUGCUACCUUCGAUAUGUUCAUGUGCAGGUUUGUGAUCUCUUCUGCAUUCCGCUUUCCAGGAGUUCUUGCCUUCAACCCUGAGGUGGAAUGGCUCUUCCCAUACUUGUCUCGCGGAGGUGGGGCUCGAAGAAGUAUGGCAUGGGGCUCGAGGACGGGAGAGGAUUGGUCCUGAUGCGCUAGCUUAAGGGUUCGUCUGUACGGGAGCACAUCAUUGGAGAGAAAGUUCAUGAUCAAAGGAAAUAGGUUUCAGGCUCGUGCGCCUGUUUUCCUUUUUUUUCCUUCGAUGGGGCCGUUCAGGUGAGGUGAAGCAAGCGAGCACCUCCCCGUGUUUUAUAUAUUCCAGGAUAUUAACAUUUGCAGCCAUACGUUGGUUUCAAUGGUGACAAAUUUUUGUCAAUCCCACAGAGAUAAUUUAAUUUGAGACUAGCAAAUACAUUGAGAUCGAGGACAGAGCGAGUCGUUGCAGAGGAGAGGGGAUACGAGGGUGGGCGGAGGUCAGGCAUUGCUAACAGAUUUGCGGCGGAGUGGAAGAGGUGACGCCAGCCGGCCGGCGCCUCACCACCGGCUCCUGUUUGGCGGUGGCAAAGAGAAGGGCGCCGAGGAUGUGUUGCUCUAUGCAUGGUUGUCGAAGUACAUCAUCGUUAUGAUGUGUAUGGUUUCUCUAGCCCUACUGCUCCUGAGCCCAAAUCCCAUGGCCAUGCCCCCACCUCUUCAUCGUUGAAUGAAGGGAGUCUGGUUGCUAAAAACAGCUUUUCUACAGCAAUAGCCAAAUAAUGUGACAUCACACCACUCCAUUUUCAUAGGCCAUAACACAUCUUUACAUGAUAAGCCGACACCUAACAAGGAUCGGGAGAACAAUAGAGAUGCUAAGAGGCAACCUUUUGGGUUAAGGAUAUAAACAACAACAGGGCUUAUGAGGCCGAAGAGAGCUCGAGUGGCGUCUUUUGGUUCUUGAAGCCCUGCACGUUCCUGGUGGAGUAGCAGCAAAAUAAUUUGGAGGCUUUAAAGCUACUGCACUUCAUGUAGUUAGGAUCAAUUCUUUGUUUUGGUUUGAAAUAUAUUGCCCAGCUCCUCCUAUUUGAUUGAUUCAUCUGAUGAUUUUGCCAGGCAAAUAAACAAAAGGCAUAUGUAUUGUUACGAGUGAAGCCAUCCAUACUCCCAUAUGUGGAAUUCAAGAAAUAGAGAAAUGUCAUUGUUCUUCUACUAAUUGGUUGCUUGGCCAAAUGUACUGUAAAUGAUUUAUUAUUGUUCAAGGUAUAGAGAAAUGUUACUAUUGUUCUUCA